rnacentral:rRNA from 1 species
AUUGAACGCUGGCGGCAUGCCUUACACAUGCAAGUCGAGCGGCAGCGCGGGGGCAACCCUCGGCGGCGAGCGGCGGACGGGUGAGUAAUACAUCGGAACGUGUCCUUUCGUGGGGGAUAACCAGUCGAAAGACUGGCUAAUACCGCAUGAGAUCUGACGAUGAAAGCGAGGGACCCGCAGGGGCCUCGCGCGAUUGGAGCGGCCGAUGUCGGAUUAGCAGUUGGCGGGGUAAAAGCCACCAAGGCGACGAUCCGUAGCUGGUUUGAGAGAACGACCAGCCACACUGGGACUGA